rnacentral:rRNA from 1 species
AUCUUCCGCAAUGGGCGAAAGCCUGACGGAGCAACGCCGCGUGUGUGAUGAAGGGUUUCGGCUCGUAAAACUCUGUUAUUAGUGAAGAACAAAUGUGUAAGUAACUGUGCACAUCUUGACGGUACCUAAUCAGAAAGCCACGGCUAACUACGUGCCAGCAGCCGCGGUAAUACGUAGGUGGCAAGCGUUAUCCGGAAUUAUUGGGCGUAAAGCGCGCGGAGGCGGUUUCGUAAGUCUGAUGAGAAAGCCCACGGCUGAACCGUGGAGGGUCAUUGGAAACUGGGAAACUUGAGUGCAGAAGAGGAAAGUGGAAUUCCAUGUGUAGCGGUGAAAUGCGCAGAGAUAUGGAGGAACACCAGUGGCGAAGGCGACUUUAUGGUCUGUAACUGACGCUGAUGUGCGAAAGCGUGGGGAUCAAACA